AAGUCGUAACAAGGUUUCCGUAGGUGAACCUGCGGAAGGAUCAUUACAAAUUGAAUAUAGAUAUGGGCGCAAGCCCAUAUUUGUAAAACAUAUGUGCACUGUAUUUUGUUUAUGUUUUCAGUUCCCUUUCACUCGUUUAUUCUUGCCGGGUGAUUUAUUUCUUCCGUGCUUGGAUGAAUUGAGGGGGAGGAGCGCUGAGAACAACCAUCUAACCUGUCUGACUUAUUUCUGUCUGAAGUUUUUUUAAAUCUCUUUCAAUGUGAAAGCAUUGAUCGAUUUUUAUAUAAAAAAAAUAUAAUACAACUUUCAACAACGGAUCUCUUGGCUCCC
rnacentral:misc_RNA from 1 species